rnacentral:lncRNA from 1 species
GGAAUGCGAAGCUUUAUGAGAGAUUGCCCAAGAUUAAAUACACAUAGCAUAUCAUAUAGUUAUGAAUUCUCCAAAAAAAAACUGUCAAUAAUUUAAUUAUUUUAUGAAAAACUAUUUUUCAAACAUAAGAAACCAAUAACUUUUUAAUGUGUAUGCAAUUAUAAAAUUCGAAAAAAGUUUCACCUCUUUACCGGAAUACAAAUAUUGUAACUCGCAAGUUUUUUCCAACAUUCUAGCAUCAUCCGGCUAAAAGGUUUUUACCAAAAAAAAUUCCAAAAAAGUACAUGUCAAUGCAUCAUUUUAGUUUUUGGAUAAAGAUGAAUUUUACUGCUAAGCAUGGGUCAAACUACCUUCAUAAAACUAAAAUUUCACAACUUCAGGAAAAAAAAAAGAAUUUCACAACUUCAGAAGAAAAAAAAAUGAAUAAAGCAUUUCAAAAAAAAUUAUUGUAAGAUAUUUCGAGAACAUGUGUCAAAAAUUGAUUUUAAGAUGUAACUCAUAUGUUCAUUAAACUUUGGCUUAAAAUUCAAAUUCAUCCUCUAUGUAUGUUACCAACACUACUAUUUAGUGGGUGUGAAUUGGAAUGCGAAGCUUUAUGAG